UGGGGAAUAUUGCACAAUGGGCGCAAGCCUGAUGCAGCGACGCCGCGUGAGGGAUGACGGCCUUCGGGUUGUAAACCUCUUUCAGUAGGGAAGAAGCGAAAGUGACGGUACCUGCAGAAGAAGCGCCGGCUAACUACGUGCCAGCAGCCGCGGUAAUACGUAGGGCGCGAGCGUUAUCCGGAAUUAUUGGGCGUAAAGAGCUCGUAGGCGGUUUGUCGCGUCUGCCGUGAAAGCCCGGGGCUUAACCCCGGGUCUGCGGUGGGUACGGGCAGACUAGAGUGCAGUAGGGGAGACUGGAAUUCCUGGUGUAGCGGUGAAAUGCGCAGAUAUCAGGAGGAACACCGAUGGCGAAGGCAGGUCUCUGGGCUGUUACUGACGCUGAGGAGCGAAAGCAUGGGGAGCGAACAGG
rnacentral:rRNA from 2 species